GAGAAAGCGGACGACACAGUUGACUCAGUUUGCUUUGUGCCACCGUAGCUGCAAAUAAAACCAAGUAAUCGUCCAUUUGCUUUUGCUGAGAAUCUCUCAAUAACAGCAGUCUUGGCAAGAAAAAUGGAUGACAAGGCAG